UAGAUUGUAAAUGUUGUUAUUUAAAAAUGAGUAAGUGAAUUAAAGAUAGAUAUAAGAAAAUCAAUUUUAUUGUAAUUUCUAGAAUAGUAAAGGUUAUUGAAAUAUUCGAAUUUGACGAUAGGGUAAAAGUACUGAAAAGGAAAGUUGAAGUAAAGAUUGGAUUAUUAAUUUUUAUAGUAGAGUUAAAGAAUUGUACCUUGUGUAUCAGGGAAGAUUAAAUUUUAUUAAAUAUAUUAGUUAUCUCGAAAUAAAAAUAGCUAAUUAUAUAGAAGAGUCUCUGUAGUAUAAGGGUUCUUAAUAUAUAAUUAAAGGUGAAAUAUCAUACGAGUUUUAUUAUAUCUAGUUUUCUGAGAAUAAAUGUAAUUUAGGGUUUAAAAGUAAAUGAUAAUUUAAAGUCUAAGAGCAGGAGGGGUUAGCUUCUUGUUCAAUAAAAUUGAAAUAAUAGUUAAGUAAAAUAAAGGUAGUCUUUCUAGGCUUAAAAAUAGCUAUGAAUAUAAAGUGUUUUUAUUAAGAGUGAAUUAAUAAAAAUUAUUUGUUUUAACUUUAAUAAGUAUUAGAAUAUUAAUCGAAAUUUUGUUGGUUAAGUUAUAAUGAUUUUAUUAGUAUAAUUAAUGUUUGUAUAUAAAAUUUUAAUUUUUCUUUAGAAAGAAUUUAAAUUGAUGGGGGUAUUAUGAAGGAAUUCGGCAAAUAUUAUUCCCUGCCUGUUUAUCAAAAACAUGUCCGUUUGAAGAUAUAAAUGGUCUGACCUGCUCACUGAUAAAUAAUAUUAUUUAAGAGCCGCGGUAUAUUGACCGUGCAAAGGUAGCAUAAUAAUUAGUUUUUUAAUUGGAAACUUGUAUGAAUGGUUGGACAAGGGAGUAUCUGUCUCUAUAAUAUAAAUUGAAAUUAACUUUUAAGUGAAAAGGCUUAAAUAUACCAAGGGGACGAUAAGACCCUAUAAAGCUUUAUAUGUUGAUUGGAUUUGAUUAAAGUUUGAGUUAAAGGUUUGAUUUAAUUAUCAUAUUUUAUUGGGGCGAUAUAGGUAUAAUUCAUAUUAACUGCUUAGAUGUAAAUACAUCAAGAUAAAUGAUUUGAAGUUAAGUGAUCCUUUAUAGAGAUUAAAAGACUAAGUUACUUUAGGGAUAACAGCGUUAUUUUUUUUGAGAGUUCAUAUCGAAAAAAAAGUUUGCGACCUCGAUGUUGAAUUAAAAUGUCUAUAUAAUGCAGCUGUUAUAUAAGAAGGUCUGUUCGACCUUUAAAUUUUUACAUGAUUUGAGUUCAGACCGGUGUAAGCCAGGUCGGUUUCUAUCUCUUGGAAAGGUUAUAAAUUAUUUUAGUACGAAAGGAUUGAAUAGUUGAAAUUUUUUUAGGAUUAUGAAAU
rnacentral:rRNA from 1 species